rnacentral:rRNA from 1 species
GUGAGGAAUAUUGGUCAAUGGGCGCAAGCCUGAACCAGCCAUGCCGCGUGCAGGAUGACUGCCCUAUGGGUUGUAAACUGCUUUUAUACGGGAAGAAACCCCUCCACGUGUGGAGGAUUGACGGUACCGUAAGAAUAAGGAUCGGCUAACUCCGUGCCAGCAGCCGCGGUAAUACGGAGGAUCCAAGCGUUAUCCGGAAUCAUUGGGUUUAAAGGGUCCGUAGGCGGGUCUGUAAGUCAGUGGUGAAAUCUCCCGGCUCAACCGGGAAACUGCCAUUGAUACUGCAGGUCUUGAAUGUUUGUGAAGUAACUAGAAUAUGUAGUGUAGCGGUGAAAUGCUUAGAUAUUACAUGGAAUACCGAUUGCGAAGGCAGGUUACUAACAAAUGAUUGACGCUGAUGGACGAAAGCGUGGGGAGCGAACAGGAUUAGAAACCCGUGUAGUCC